AUUGAACGCUGGCGGCAGGCCUAACACAUGCAAGUCGAACGAGUGGCGGACGGGUGAGUAAUGUCUGGGAAACUGCCCGAUGGAGGGGGAUAACUACUGGAAACGGUAGCUAUACCCCCUACCCAUGGAAGUGCCCAGAUGGGGUUAGCGAGUUGGUGGGGGAAAGGCUCACCUAGGCGACGAUCCCUAGCUGGUCUGAGAGGAUGACCAGCCACACUGGAACUGAGACACGGUCCAGACUCCUACGGGAGGCAGCAGUGGGGAAUAUUGCACAAUGGGCGCAAGCCUGAUGCAGCCAUGCCGCGUGGAUGAAGAAGGCCUUCGGGUUGUAAAGUACUUUCAGCGGGGAGGCGUUACCCGCAGAAGAAGCACCGGCUAACUCCGUGCCAGCAGCCGCGGUAAUUC
rnacentral:rRNA from 1 species